GGGGAGAAGUUAUGUUAAUUUUAUGAAAAAUAGUUUAAUUGUACAAUGACAUAUGUGGGCUGUGGCAUAGCACAGGGGUUACUGUGUCAUUCUGUAGGGCAGCUGAGUCACCAAAAUUAUUGCUAUAUAGGUUGUGGCUCAACACUGUAUGGACACAUGAACUGAAAACUCUCUGGGUCGCUGUCUGUGAGGGAGUGUUGAAAUUGUUCACUGAGAAAAAGAAUUGUGCAGAACUGGCUAAAAAGUUUAUUUGAGGCAACAAUUUGAUCAUCAUAAUGCAGAUGCCAAUGUAGCAAGUUGUUAUGAACAAGCUAUUAUGACGGAGACUCAGGCUGCAGUCCAAUCAAUCACCGGCGGUACUACACUGCCACAGACUAUCGACGAUGACGUAGCCAAUUUUCGUUGCUCAACACCACUGAACUACAGCCUAAAAGAUGCUGAACCAUUGAUUAUGAAUUAUGCAUAUUGUAAUUCCAAGCCAAACAAACAAAAGAGAGGUAUGCCACGCACAACACAGUGGGGUCGUGAUCUAAAUACUAAGCAGUAUGGCAAAAGUCUGAAAAGAAAACUUCCCUAUUCAGAUGACAUUCCAGCUAAGCGGCAACGCCUCUCAGUGAUACAUGAUGACAACAGUGCUGAAAUGCACAGUACACAUAGCCUUAGUGACUAUGCAAUCCAGGACAUUAUCACAAUUCCAGACACACCGGAAAAUGAACAUGCUGCCGGUACUAGUAUUAAUAUUAUAGUACCUGCAAAGAAAUCUUGUAGAGUCUCAAGAAAAAAAAGUAAUAAUAACAAGUUUAGGCCAAUGACACAAACUGAGAUUAUAAAAUAUCUGACACACAGGCUAGCCAUAUAACUAUAACAGAUACUCAGCAAGAAACCCUUUAUACAUACAGUAUACAAAAUAAUUCAGAACCACUGAACAACCGGGGUUUUGCGGGGUCUGCAUAACCUGGUUCUGCAGUAUCAGAAGACGCUGUUCUAGAGACAGACGUUGUUGCAUCACCUGACAUUGUUAUGCCGGUUGCUGCAACAAUGUCUAAUGUAGUGAACAUUCAACAAAAUACAAACAAAGUAGCAGAAAUACAAUACUAUGCUUUGAUGGGUAGACUAUGGAAAGAUGUCAUGUUCAUGGAGCAGAUAACAAAAUCCAUAUCUAGACUCAUGAAGAUGCUUAGCAGUUAAAGGCCAUCACAGGUUUUUGAAAAAUGUAUUACUCCGUAUAUUGAUGCCACAGCAAAAAUUAGAAAACACUCAGACAAAACAUGGUCAUUUGUAAAGGAAAAUAUACAUUACUUUGCUGAAGAACCGAAAUGACUAGAACUGGUAGGCCGAAGUAUGAAACAUGUAUUUCCAAUCUGUAAACAGGCAAAUCAAAUAAAAAAUGCUGUAAUGUGAAAAUUGUCAUAUAAAGAUUCAUACAGGCUAUCAAAAGUAAAACAAUCAAUAGCUAUGUAAUUUAAAUUCAGAAAACGUGAUUUUCUGAGACAGCAGUUAAGCAACAUGGCUACUGACUGAAAUUAUGACC